rnacentral:rRNA from 1 species
CGGCGGUUAUGGCGGGAAGGAAACACCCGGUUACAUUCCGAACCCGGAAGUUAAGCUUCUCUGCGCCGAUGGUACUGCACUCGGGAGGGUGUGGGAGAGUAGGUCACCGCCGGACA